AUGGGUUUUUCUUUCAAAAUUAACAAUAAUUUUUCUGCAGCUAAAUCUAAGCAAAAGAAACCGACCACAACAACAACAAGAGGCAAAAAAUCUCAGAUAACAACAGAGGUGAAAUCGAAGAAGAAAUCUAGUAGGAGAAAAAUGUGGUUUGUUUAUGUAUGUGAAGAAGAAGAGAAGGAAUUGGGAAGACAACAAGCAUCAGGUUCUUGUCCUUAUUGUGGUGGAAAAGUUGAAGCUAUGGAUGUUGAGAUGCAAUGGAGGUUUUGCUUUUUGCCUAUGUGUUUUAAGAUUAAGAGAAGUUAUUUUUGUACUUCUUGUACUAGACGUUUAGAAUUGAAGUAUUAA